rnacentral:rRNA from 1 species
UACAGAGGUCUCAACCGUUGUUCGGAUUCAUUGGGCGUAAAGGGUGCGUAGGCGGUCGCGCACGUCCGUUGUGAAAUCGCCCGGCUCAACUGGGCGGGGUCAGCGGAUACGGUGUGGCUCGAGCAAGCUAGGGGGCAAUGGAAUUCCCGGUGUAGUGGUGGAAUGCGUAGAUAUCGGGAGGAACACCAGUGGCGAAGGCGGUUGCCUGGAGCUUUGCUGACGCUGAGGCGCGAAAGCGUGGGGAGCGAGUCCGG